rnacentral:lncRNA from 1 species
UAAGCCAGACGUGAUCGACUGACCGAUCUCCUGUAUUUGUCGAGUGUUCUUCUUGUUGGUUGCUGGGGCUGUUCUGGCCUGUACAAUGGUGGCACCACAACAACCGUUUUGGUGGUGGUCUGGGCAGGUGCUAGACUGUUUGUUAGCCAUUUGAUGUGAUGGCCCUGCACUCCUACCUGGUUGGUGUGCUUGACUCUUGGUGUUCUUGACCUGUAGUCUCUUAGUUGCCGGUCAUGUACAAUAGCUGCUUGGUUAUAUGACUCUGUUCCUUUCUUAGGUAGCUAGCCCUGACUGUAAUUUGCAGCAUGCAUACUUGUCCGUGUUCUGUUCCUUGCAUUUUAUCCAUGUAAAACUGUUGUAUUCUUGUGGAUUUCUUGCUUGCGCCGUCUGCAUUUCAUCAUGCCUUUUCUCACCAUGUGACAAAUUGUUUUGAGCUAGUAUUGUUUUUAAUGUGGCUGUAGUAUGCGAAAAAUCCCUUUUGGAGGCCGAGCUCCAAUGAGGCUAGCUUUUGAAAAAUUCAAAAUUCAUUAAAAUUCAUUCAUAUUUUUACAUUUCAAAAAAUUCUAAAGAAAAGAUAUACACGGAGAUAUAUUGCACAAGUGUGUAAAUUUUAAGGAUGAAAUUCGUUGGAAUGAGGGCUGUGCAAAAAAGACAAAUUUAGAACUUUUUAGCACAUGAUACAUCCUCAUAGGUCAUAAAUUUGUCUUUUUGUGCAGAUUGCAUUUUAAGGUAUUUCAUCCUGAAAAUUUACGCAUAUAUGCAUAACAUCCUCGUUUACUUGUACAUUUCUUUUUCUUGAAACUGAAAGUUUGAUUUGUUUUCUUCAAAAAAAUGGCCUCGAUGGAUGCGAGAGCCAAAAUGCCACACUCCUGUGGUAUGCCCUUUUGAAGUUGAUGGAAGUUCUGGCUCUAUGUUGAACAGGGAAAGGUGCCGGGUGUGAAAAUGAUGGAAAUCGCCAAAGAGAGUGGUGAAGUUUUUUACCCGGGUUCCAAUGAUCUCUGACAUUGGCUGGAUAAAUAAAGUUUGAAGGGACUUCUCGAGUAGGUAAUCUGUUUUAUCAGUCUCCACCAAAGAGAGUGGUGAAGUUUUUUACCCGGGUUACAGUGAUAUCUUGCUUGGGCUUCUCGAGGAGCUAAUCUGUUUUAUCAGACUCCACCAAUAAGUUGCAAUGACAACAACUAGCUUAGCAAUAAAUUGCUUAAUUAGUGACCAACAUGUUAGAUACUAUGUAGUACUCCCUCCGUAAACUAAUAUAAGAGCGUUUAGAAUACUAAAAUAGUGAUCUAAACGCUCUUAUAUUAGUUUACAGAGGGAGUAGUAACGUGUCAGGAAUAGAAUGAUUGGUUGCAGCAAGGAUUUCAGUUUAUAAUAAACCAUGGUGAGCAAAACGAGGCUGCUUUAGAGAAAGGGCAAAGAAAAAGCAUGUGCAUUCCAUCCUCUGUAUUAUCACACCCAAAGCAGUUUUCAGUAAUGCGUUAGAGAAUUUACUUGCUCUCUUACCCUUAGAAAGCGCUUUACUAAGAAGCCUCCAAGCAAAUGUCUGUACCCAUGGCGCCAUGAAUUUGUCUUGCCAAACUUGGUUUAGAAGAGCAAUGUUUUGUGGAUGAACCGCUUUGGGUUGUUAUCUAGCCGAUAGCUCAAGGUUGUUGAAGCAAUGUUUAUAUGCACUUUUCGAUGAGAAAUUGCAUGCAAGUGUUAGUUUCCAAUUCAAAGCAUCUUGCACAACAUCAGAGUCAAAAGAAUAUUACUAGCUAUCUCAGGAGUGAACGGGGAGUUAUUGUAUCAACAUUCCAAGCUUUUUGAUCUGGCAACCAAAGAUCUUUAACAAUAGCGGAACAUCAUAACAUCAUCAAUGUAUAGAGGCAACCAUGGUAGUGCAACUAAGGCAGGAUCUAAUGGCUUGCCACUAACAAAAUGAAGAAGCUUAUUGGAUGCGUUUGGUAGACUGCACCUUUUUUUGCCCCAUUGCAUGUUGACUCAACUGAACAGUUUAUGCCUGCUAUUUUGUGGCCUGCAUUUAUGCUUCAGGGUGAGCAGAUGCAAACUACAACAGUUUGGUUGUGUGCACUGUGUUGUUCUGCUCACCCCUUUCAAAUGUGGUGUGCUUAUCCACCAAUUGGACUACACUUCACAACAACACAUCACGUAUCAAGCAGGAACACAAUUAAAAUACCACGCCUACUCAUUAUUAGCAUGCAACUACAUAGUUCACGGUGCAACUAGAACAUCAAUUUAACACAACAGGGGCAUCACAUGCCCCUAGACAACCCCAAGAUGCUGAUCCCUAGGCAGAAUGUACACCUGACAACAAAAGAUCAAAGUUCACACAUACACGCUUUAGAUAGACGGUUCGAGCAAGAAGAAGAGCACGAGCAAUGUCACCCUAGCAGCAGUGCUUGGUGCACCUGACCUUGCAGAUGGUGGAGUUGCCGGCGAUUUAGAUAUUGACCUUCAAGCCCAGGCCCAACAGCUUCAAGACUAACAGACCACAGAGGGCGAUGAUGUGCUUUUAACAAAAGUAGUUCCAACCCCUCCCCAGCAACAUCUGCUCGUGGAAGAUCUGCACAUAGACCCAAAACUCGCACCAUUUGUUUGCUAAGAGCUUGACAAUGCAAGGAGGUUUUAGGACGAGCCAUCGUUUCAUCAGGGGCAGAGUCGAGGAUGACAAAAAUGGCAAUGUCCUUGACGUUCUUGAUGGACACAUAGACUUCAGUGGCUCGCGUGUCCCCUCCUCAUGGCCAAGCCUAGACAUGCGGCCAAUCCCUAGCGACUUGCUCAUCUCAGCUAGUUUGCCCAACACCAUCACUGUUUUCUGCAAACCGAUUCACCCGCAUGAUGUACUUGUCCCCUCGGCGCCAUUAACGACCAGCCUGGUGGGGGCCAACGAUGCUGAUAGGCGGCCCAACCUUGCCCGUCAUGGACCCCUGAGGUAAACUGCCCGGGUGCACGCUGUCCGGGCAUAUCAGACACGCAGAGAGCUGUAGGGAGCCACCCGCAUCACGCCGAUGCCAGGACACGCUAAAGCCCUCCUCGCGCAUGGAGACUCCCAGGAGACAGGUACUCCAUUAUCCUUUGUAGGAGUAAUGAGACACUUACGAUUUGAAUCCUCCCAUUUAGCCUUAACAUCACAGUCCCUCAUAAUCUCCAUCACCUUCUUUAGGUGCUUCAGGAGGACCAUUAAGGAGAACAUAAUCAAUAUUCAGCAAGGCAAAAGUAAUCUCAAGCUUUUGCUUCCAUGUAGCAUAGUUGCUACCAUAUAAUUGGUCUAUAUUGUUAAGCAUUCCAGCAAUAUGAGAGGCAUUAGAUGCUGCAAAAAGAAUCAAUGUUUUAAUGAGCAUCAUCAUCAUCAACUUGUUUUAGUGACCAAAUUCAAAUAAGCUUUGACCCGAAAUGAGUAUGAACAAAAAAAAUGUGGACAAGUAUUUAUUAAUCAGCUUUGGCCAGAGUAAUAAAUAGAAGCCACAUUUUAUUAAAUCCUUAUGUAUAAACUUCUUUUAUCAAUCUUGUUCAUAUCAGCUUUGGCCAGAAAUGGGCAUAAUUAAUAAAGUUUUAUGAUGCUCGUCAUUUUUUUUGUGGGUGGAGAACGUUAAUUUUACAGUGGAAACAACCUAACAUAACAACAGUCCUAAUAAAAUGCCACAAAAGAAUCAAGAAAUAAUAAUAAAUGCAUUCAUAUAAUCAGACAUGGCACGUAAAAGCAUGAGGAACAGUAAGAUGUAAAGGAAUUAUGUAACAUUUUUAACAAGCAUAACCAAACAUGCAAAAGUUAAGCCCUGAAACUUAUUUAUUUUAGUUCAGAAGAAUAAACUUAAAAUAAAAAAGACUUUAGAUUAUUCUCAGUGAAUCUCAGCCUAUGUACAUAUUCAGGCCAUUACAUGAAAACAUGCAAAGGUCACUCCCACAUUUUCAGUUUUGCGCCACUUGUCAUACCCAGAGAGUUUUCUCUUUUUUCAUAGAUUCGAAUAUGUAUACACCCAAAUCCCGAACCAUCUUCACCGUUGGAUUACUAGCAUCGAGAUCAUCAAACUAGAUCCCAUGUUAAUAUGUUUCGACGAUCUAUUUUUCUCUGCAAAUAAACCGAAAGAAAAACUGUGCCUCCCGCGAAAAAAUAACGUGUUUUUCCCUUUCAGAGAGGCACACCUCUCGUGUAUGCAAACCUGUGCAUCCACGAGAAGCAGAUCCGUUACUCUCGCGGAAGAAAAAAAACACGUUUUUCUUUUUCUUUUUCGAGAGGCACAGCUGUGCCUCUUGCAGAAGCAAAACUGUGCCUCCAUGAGAUGCAAGUGUGUGCCUCUCGCGGAAGAACAACAAUGUUUUUUUCUCUUUCCGAGAGGCCUCCACGAGAAACAAAUCUGUACCUCUCGCGGAAGAAAAAAUAUUAUAUUUUUCCUUUUUUGGUGAGGCACAUUGGGCUUCCCUUGGAAGCAAAUAUGUGCUAUUUGUGGAACCAAAAACACCAUUUUUCACGCAAUUAUUUGUCCAAAAUCUAGAGAAAACCAGGGAAAAACUGGAAAAUAAAAACCAUCUAAAACCAGAAAACGCGUACAGAAAAAUAAAAAACACAAAAUCCUGAGGAGGUGCCCAACAUUCGAUAUGUGACGGCGGCUGAGAGCAUGCAAAUGGGCACGCUCUCAAACCGCCAAAACUGACUCUUGACAAGCUCCCGCAAGGGGUAUACCUCAAUUAGUUGCUCUCCCUAUGUCUCGCUUCUAGCGAGACGUAGGGAACCCUCACGUCAAGCCUAGCGCGACAUGGGCUGGCGCAGUGCGCAGAAGUGCACUGCCACGUUUUAUUUCUGCUUUUUCUUUCACUUUUUUGUUUUCAUUUUUUCAUUUAUUUUUUACUUUUGUUUACAUUUCCAAAUGUUAUAAACAUAUAUAUUCAAAAGUAUACUUUACAUAAUGUUUUGAAAAAUAUAAAUCAUGCAUUUGAAAAAAUGUUAAAUAUGUAUGGAGAAAAUGUUGACCAUGUAUAUGAAAAAUGUAUACAAAAAAUAUAGAUCAUGUAUUUAAAAAAUGUUAGUCAAGCAUUUGAAAAAUAGUUAAACAAGUAUAUAAAAAAUGUUAAUAAAUAUUUCAAAAAUAUUAAAUGUGUAUAGAAAAAUGCUGAUCAAAUAUUUAAUUAAUAUUAAUCUUGUGUUUGAAAUUUUUUAAUCAAGCAUGUGUAAAAUGUUAGAUGUGUAUAGGAAAAAUGUUGACCACAUAUUCAAGGAAUGCUAAAUGUGUAUAGAUAUUUUUUGAUCACUUAUUUAUAUAACGUUAAUAUUGUAUUAAAAAAUGUUAAUACAUAGAAAAAAUGCUGAUCAUUUAUGAACAAAAUGUUAAUCCUGUAUAAUAAACAUGUUAAUAAAAUUAUUUAAAAAAUCAACUGUGUUUAAUAAAUAUUAAUUGUUGAUUAAAAAUGUUAAUUUUGUAUUUGCAUAAUAUUGAAGAUGUAACAGAAAAUUGUACUAUCUAUAUUUUAAAACAUAAGUCAUUUUGGUAGGCUAUUUUAGCCAAAUAAAUAUCUUAUAUUUUAAAACGGAGGUAGUAUUAGACUUAGGCCAGAAAUAUACUCCCUCUGUUCCUAAAUAUAAGUCAUUUUAGAUAUUUCAAAUGGACUACAACAAACGGAUGUAUGUAGACAUAUUUUAAAGCAUUGAUUCACUCAUUUUACUUCGUAUGUAGUUACUUAUUGAAAUAUAUAGAAAGACUUAUAUUUGGAAAUGGAGGGACUAUAAUAUGUAUGAGAAAAAAUUAGACAUCAAAAAAUGUUUCAAAUGUAUACCAAAAGUGUUAAUAAUAUAUUUAAUUUUUAACCUGUAUAUAAAAUAGUUUUCAGAUGUAUAACAAAAAUGUUGAAUGUUUAUGAAACCAAGAAAAAAAA